AUGACAAGGACAAGCCUUUUAGGUUUUGCAUUCCAGUCUUUGGUCAAAUUAACUGACGACACGGUUGCUCGAGGUAAGGAAUAUCUUAUGAACUGGCGACUAUCGUCAUCAUUGUCGUCGUUACCAAGCUCUAAGUUACAUGUGACUACGGACGGUGAUAACACUCGUGGUGCUGCAACGGACAUAAUUGAUUCUGCCGUGGCAAGGAACGUUAUCGAUUUGAAUGGGCAAAAAUAUUCCAAAGAGGGGACGAAGGCGGCACAUGGUACUUGUUGCUAUGAUGAAUUAUUCUGCUUCCCACGUUUCGAUGUACUGCAGAGCAGCCCUUCGGAUCACCAUUACCUUGACAUCGCGGACCAGGGCAGUAGUCAUGUCAAGAGUUGGGCGAAAACAGUGCAGAAGGAAUGGAAAAUUCUAGAGAACGACUUACCAGAAACCAUUUACAUGCGGGUGUUCGAGGACCGCAUGGACCUACUCCGGGUGGUGAUGGUGGGUGCGAGUGGGGCACCGUACCAUCACGGGCUCUUCUUUUUCGACUUGCAGCUGCCUCCAUCAUACCCAGCUGCGCCACCGCAAGUGUACCACCACUCCUUCGGCCUACGCCUCAAUCCCAACCUCUAUGAGUCCGGUACCGUGUGUCUUAGCCUGCUAGGCACAUUUGGGGGCGAGGGCAGUGAGGUCUGGUCGCCGUCGACAUCAAGCAUCCUCCAAGUCGUUGUCUCCAUCCAGGGCCUCGUCCUCAACGACCAACCAUACUACAACGAGGCUGGAUAUGAGACUCUGGUUGGCAAACCAGAGGGCCGCCGCAAUGCCUUGACCUAUAGCAAGAAUGCUUCAUGCUCCACCUUUUACGCCACCUCAGGGAUUUCAAGAAUUUGUAAAGGAUCACUUCCGCCAUCGGGGGAGGUUCGUGCUCGGGACAUGCACCGCGUGGUUGCAGGGAUGCGGUGUCUGCAGUGCCCGUGCCACUGA
rnacentral:rRNA from 1 species